CCGGGGAACAGUAGUUGUGCUAGUUUCGAACCAAGUCGUCUGCGUAUCCUUUUCUUUUUCUUUUUUUCACCAUACCACAUGGAUUUCACUCCAAACAUUAAUGAGCAUGGAAUUUAUUUCAUAGCCACUUCAUUUACUCCAUGCUCAUAUGCAACAUCUUCCCAAUCCGUUGGUUUUUCCAACAUCACCACAUUCGAGAUCUCCAACCCCCUCAUCCUUUCUAUUUAUAAAAACUUUAAAAGGGUGGUUGUUGAUGCAUAUGUCUAUAUUAAAUAUUGCAGAUCUUGUUGAGUUGAUCUUGAUAUAGGUCAGCGUUGGAGGGGAAACCACUUCGCCGACAUAAAUUGAUGGUUUCCCAAGGACAAGCUUAGUGUACUAAAACAAGCACUGAUC
rnacentral:lncRNA from 1 species